rnacentral:rRNA from 1 species
GCCUGGCCCUAAAUCUUGAUACUUACUAUUACCGAAGUAUCCGCCAGAGAACUACGAGCACAAACGCUUAAAACUCUAAGGACUUGGCGGUGCCCUAAACCCACCUAGAGGAGCCUGUUCUGUAAUCGAUGAUCCACGAUCAACCCGACCGCCCCUUGCCAAACACAGCCUACAUACCGCCGUCGCCAGCCCACCUCGAAUGAGAGCACAACAGUGGGCACAAUAGCACCCUCCCCGCUAAUAAGACAGGUCAAGGUAUAGCCUAUGGGACGGAAGAAAUGGGCUACAUUCCCUGUACACAGGGCAGCACGGAAAGAGGCAUGAAACUGCUUCUAGAAGGAGGAUUUAGCAGUAAAAUGGGAUAAUAGAGCCCAUUUUAAGCCGGCUCUAGGGCACGU